UGCUUCUUCUAGGUUUGAAUGGAAUGCCCGAGCCCAUGCUCUGUAGACAUAUGGACGAAGCCAUAUGGGAAGUUCAAUGCCUGUCAAGGAACCCCAAAAUCUAGAAAUGGAGCGUAAAGGAAUCAUCCUCAGAAAUGUAGCCUUUACAUCUGGUUGAAACUCUAAUUCAAUUCCUUUUUCCCGUGCCUCUUCAGUCUUUUUGUCAUCAUAGAGACGACGUGCAUGAAGGGCACCAAGCAUGAGUAGAGUAGCCACAGUUGCACCAGGCAACAGAAAAGUACUACCUUGGCCUUGGGAGCUGCUACUACCGUUGCCAUUGAAGGAAGCACGAGCUUGAGACACUUUUUGGACCUUUUUAAGAAACGAGGUAAAGAAUUGGCGUUGACAAUGGUGCUGGUUGAAUCGUAAAUUAUGAGGGAAAAUAGGGACUUUAUGGGAGAACCGGAAUUUCAUCUUCUGUGGAAUGGUUUGAUUGGCAGAGAUGUUUGGUUUCGAUAGGGUUUUUCUGCAGGAACGAGUCCCGGAGGGAGGGGGAAAUGGAUGGUUGAAGUGAAGAAAUAAAACGACGAG
rnacentral:misc_RNA from 1 species